AUGUCGGCCGCCGCGCUCAGGGCUCUACUGAACUCCCAUGUCACUUCAAUGUUCAACACGGGUACGGUGGACGAGUAUUUCCAGUACCUGCAGUCGGUGGAAGAGGACGGCAGCUCAGCGCCGGGCUUGGUUGCCGAGGUCAUCAACCUCUUCAUCGGCGACGCCAACAGCAUCCUCAACGGCAUCGCUGGCCUGCUGAACCAGCCCGUGGUAGAUUUCAACAAGGUGGACGACCUGGUGCAUCAGCUCAAGGGGUGCAGCUGCAGUGUUGGUGCUAAGAAAGUGAACCUCUGCUGUAUGUACUUCCAUCAGUUCAUUGAGUCAAGAAGCAAAGAAGGGUGCCUCAUGGCGUUGUCUCUUCUUAGGAAUGAGUUCUGCGAUGUGUGCAACAAGUUCCAGACCAUGAUGCAGCUGGAGCAGCAGAUCGCAGCCUGUGGUCCUAAGUAG
rnacentral:rRNA from 1 species